rnacentral:lncRNA from 1 species
CCAGUAUAUUUAGGGUGGAGAUUUAAGCCACACAAGGUGAAAAACAAGGAUGAAGUUGGAGAAGGAAGAGAAACUUGUCAAAGCCUGUAGAGAAGAAGUGAGGAUAAUUAAUCAGACAAAUGGAGAUAGAGAGCAGGUGUGCAGAGGGGAUAGUCUGAUGGAACAAAAAGGCAGUGGAAUGAAAAUGGAUGUCAGAAGAGAUAUCAGACUGUUCCAAUAAUUACAAGCCAGCUUUCUGCAUGAGCAAUCAAAGGCUGUGUUCUAGAUUGGAAGAAAAGUUACAGAAGUUUUCUGGUUUAGCAGAGGAAGCAAACUACCAGAGUUAUUAUCCAGGUUCUAGGGAAAAAAAGAGGGAAGAGAUACAGUGGGAACAGAACUGUGAUAUUUGCAGCAGUUUGCCUUUCCUCAGAAGAUAACUGAGAGUUCUGCAUGGAGAUGGCAAAAGGCAGACCUAUACUUGGAGUUUGCAGUCCAGCUCCCCUAAAGAAGGACAUGCCAGUCUGCAGAAUUGCUACAAUUGACUCAUUGUUCUGCUGUGUCAGAUCGCACGGUAUUCCCCGCAGAGGGAGCGGCCGGAGCCGCGGUGCUGGCUGUGCCCGGGGCUGCCGGGGUGCCGGGGCUGCCGCUCCCCGGGCGAUGCCGAGAUGCGGAUCAGGAGGCUCCUCCCGCUCUGCCGCCGGUGCUGGGGGAGCUCGGCUGGUCUCCGGUGCCGGGGAAGGCUCCGGGGCCCGGCCGGCAGCGGCUCCAGCACCAGGGACAGCGGGCGGGGAGCGGAGCGGGCGGGGAGCGCCUCAGGGCAGAGCUCCCUUAGAGCGGCGCCUCGGGGCUCAGUGCCCGUGGGGCUGCCGGGACCGGCGUGGGACCGAACGGGAAGGGACAGCACGGGAAGGAUUCGGAGCUCCUGCCCUGCCCUUCGGCCCGGCCCGCUGGACACCUCUGUCACCCUUCACACUGCACAGAGCACGCCAAGUACAGCAGCUCCGGGAACAUCAGCCCUCGCUCCCUGGAGUACAAACCAAGGUUCUGUUGUCCUGAAACAAAGCCGUAACAUCAGAGACAGCACUUAAAAACCCACAGCCAAAGCCUGCCCUCCCUGGUAGGGAUUUGGCUGCGGGCUGAUUGAUAGCUCAAAUCACUUCAUCAGCCUCUGGAAUAGCGACAUGCUCAUUUCCAUGAGAGAUGAAACCACUUCUCUGAUGUUGUCUUUCAAUAGUAUAAAUUUGUUAGCAUGAAAGAGAUCUCUUUCACGGCAAUAAAUACAUAAAUUAUAAGCA